GAUGAACGCUGGCGGCGUGCCUAAUACAUGCAAGUCGAGCGAACAGACGAGGAGCUUGCUCCUCUGACGUUAGCGGCGGACGGGUGAGUAACACGUGGAUAACCUACCUAUAAGACUGGGAUAACUUCGGGAAACCGGAGCUAAUACCGGAUAAUAUAUUGAACCGCAUGGUUCAAUAGUGAAAGACGGUUUUGCUGUCACUUAUAGAUGGAUCCGCGCCGCAUUAGCUAGUUGGUAAGGUAACGGCUUACCAAGGCGACGAUGCGUAGCCGACCUGCGAGAGUGAUCGGCCACACUGGAACUGAGACACGGUCCAGACUCCUACGGGAGGCAGCAGUAGGGAAUCUUCCGCAAUGGGCGAAAGCCUGACGGAGCAACGCCGCGUGAGUGAUGAAGGUCUUCGGAUCGUAAAACUCUGUUAUUAGGGAAGAACAAAUGUGUAAGUAACUAUGCACGUCUUGACGGUACCUAAUCAGAAAGCCACGGCUAACUACGUG
rnacentral:rRNA from 1 species